GGAGGGAGGAUAAGUGAUGUGAUGGAGGGAGGAUAAGAGGUGUGAUGGAGGGAGGAUAAGAGGUGUGACGGAGGGAGGAUAACUAGUGUGAUGGAGGGAGGAGUAGAGGUGUGAUGGAGGGAGGAUAAGAGGUGUGAUGAUGGAGGAUAAGAGGUGUGAUGGAUGGAGGAUAAGUGAUGUGAUGGAGAGAGGAUAAGUGGUGUGAUGGAGGGAGGAUAAGUGGUGUGAUGGAGGGAGGAUAAGAGGUGUGAUGGAUGGAGGAUAAGUGAUGUGAUGGAGAGAGGAUAAGUGGUGUGAUGGAGGGAGGAUAAGUGGUGUGAUGGAGGGAGUAUAAGAGGUGUGAUGGAUGGAGGAUAAGUGAUGUGAUGGAGGGAGGGGAAGAGGUGUGAUGGAGGGAGGAUAAGAGGUAAGAUGGAGGGAGGAUAAGAGGUGUAAUGGAGGGAGGAUAACUAGUGUGAUGGAGGGAGGAUAAGAGGUUUGAUGGAGGGAGGAUAAGAGGUGUGAUGAUGGAGGAUAAGUGAUAUGAUGGAGGGAGGA